GCCUUCGUGGUGUAGUGGUCAGCACGCUUGGCGCAUAUUCCAGAAGUCCAUGGUUCGAGUCCCGGCAAAGGCG
rfam:Stegodyphus mimosarum contig3148, whole genome shotgun sequence.